AGCAGCCGCGGUAAUUCCAGCUCCAAUAGCGUAUAUUAAAGUUGUUGCAGUUAAAAAGCUCGUAGUUGAAUUUCGGGAUCAAAUUGUCGGUCGUGCCUCGGUACGCACUGGCGUUAUUGGUUCCUCCCUUCUGAAGAACCGCGAUGUCAUUAAUUUGGUGUCGCGGGGAAUCAGGACUGUUACUUUGAAAAAAUUAGAGUAGUUUAAAGCAAGCUCGCGCUUGAAUACAUUAGCAUGGAAUAAUGAAAUAGGACGUUUGAUUCUAUUUUGUUGGUUUCUAGGAUCGACGUAAUGAUUAAUAGGGAUAGUUGGGGGCAUUAGUAUUCAAUUGUCAGAGGUGAAAAUUCUUGGAUUUUAUUGAAGACUAACUACUGCGAAAGCAUUUGCCAAGGAUGUUUUCAUUUAAUCAAGAACGAAAGUUAGGGGAAUCGAAGACGAUCAGAUACCGUCGUAGUCUUAACCAUAAACCUAUAGACCGACUACGGGAUCGGAUGAUGUUAAUUUUUUAAUGUACUCAUUCGGCGUCCUUACGGGAAACCCUAAAGGUUC
rnacentral:rRNA from 1 species